UCUAAAAUACCUACCAUACCCAUUUUAAGAACGUAACUUGACUUUCUGGCCAAGAGGAAUUUAAUCAUCUAUUCGACACUGGCACACGUGUGGCUGGUAAACCAGUUCCCUAUUAUGAGCCAAGAACUUGACACAGUGUCUCUGACCCUCAUAACCACCUGGAAAAUCCGGAUGCAUUGCUAGUCUCGUUCGAUAGGUAAGGAAAAUGAGGGCAGAGAGGUGAGUAGCUGCCCCAAACCCCAGGCGGCGGUGGCCCUGGACUCACGAACUCUGCCCUUCGGUCCCAGGCGGCUCUGACUGUCACCUAAGCUUGCCGGUCCUAAGCGCUCUCUCCGCAGGAUGUGCAGGGCUUACUAGUUAGCACUAGACGAUGACUCUGCACCUUGACUAAAAGCAGGCCUUUUCCAGGCUGAUGGGGAAGGGAGGCGUCCAGGGCUGCGAGCAGGGCAGGACAGCAGCUGCCUGGGGCAACGAGGACAGGCUGAGGAAGGUUGGCUGCAGGCUUGCACCUGUGCCAGCUCAGAGGUGCCAAGCGGAUCAUCCCAGGAUACCCACCCAUCCUUAGCAGCCUGGUCUCGUCACUCAGCCACGUGGAUGAACAGGAAUUGGUGCUGAGCUCAUCUCCCUGAUGGAGGUCUGAUGAUGAAGGAUGCCUGCUGGUUGCCCACCACAACACCUGGGAAGGUUUCCAGCUGCAGACCUCCUCCCACCGCCCGCCCCUUCUUUAACACAUGAUUUUGUUGAUGUCACUGUCAGGGGGGCUGAGCACGUGGCAGGAGAAGAAUGUGGGAGCAACCAGAGGUCUGGAUCAGCCUUUAGUGAAUCCUGUAAAGUCUGAAAACAAACACCAAGAAGGAGCCAAAUCAUGUAAUAGCCUUAGUUGCAUAGACGGAAUUAACCAACACCAAACUAUCUAAGCCGGACUCCAAGGUCAUGAGCGCAGCUUGCUGCACGUGUAGUUGUCUGUGUUCUGCUAGUCGCUGGCUGUGUGCCUGCCUUCUUGGGGCUCAGUGUCCUCUCCUUCACAGUGGACACAAAUAACAUUUACCUUGUGGUGUUAUUCUAUAAAGGAUUGAGUGAGGAAAGCACUUUGUGUCUAGAACUAUUUAAGGAUAUAAUAUGAGUAUU